GACGAACGCUGGCGGUGUGCUUAACACAUGCAAGUCGAACGGUAAGGCCCUUUCGGGGGUACACGAGUGGCGAACGGGUGAGUAACACGUGAGUAACCUGCCCUCAUCUCUGGGAUAACAGUCGGAAACGGUUGCUAAUACUGGAUAUGAGCUUGCAAGGCAUCUUGUGGGUUGGAAAGAUUUUUUUGGUUGGGGAUGGACUCGCGGCCUAUCAGCUUGUUGGUGAGGUAGUGGCUCACCAAGGCUUCGACGGGUAGCCGGCCUGAGAGGGCGACCGGCCACAUUGGGACUGAGAUACGGCCCAAACUCCUACGGGAGGCAGCAGUGGGGAAUAUUGCACAAUGGACGGAAGUCUGAUGCAGCAACGCUGCGUGCGGGAUGACGGCCUUCGGGUUGUAAACCGCUUUCAAUUGUGACGAAGCUUUUUGUGACGGUAGCAGUAGAAGAAGCACCGGCUAACUACGUG
rnacentral:rRNA from 1 species